rnacentral:tRNA from 1 species
GGGUCUGUGGGGUAGCUUGGUAUCCUUCCAGCUUGGGGUGCUGGUGACUCCGGUUCAAAUCCGGACAGACCCACCA